AACUGGAGAGUAUGAUACCGGCUCAGGGCGAACGCUGGCGGCGUGGAUUAGACAUGCAAGUCGGCUCGAAAGACCCUUCGGGGUUGAGUAGGGCGGCGAACGGGUGAGUAACACGUAGGUA
rnacentral:rRNA from 1 species